rnacentral:tRNA from 1 species
GGUCCCAUAGCUCAGUUGGUUAGAGCGUCGUACUAAUAUCUCGAUCAGAAAUAUUAAGUAAAUGCGAAGGCCGAGAGUUCAAGCCUCUCUGGGACCA